rnacentral:rRNA from 1 species
UACGGGGGAUGCAAGCGUUAUCCGGAUUUAUUGGGUUUAAAGGGUGCGUAGGCUGUGAGGUAAGUCAGCGGUGAAAUGCCCCCGCUCAACGGGGUGAAGUGCCAUUGAUACUGCCUUGCUGGAAUGCGGAUGCCGUGGGAGGAAUGUGUGGUGUAGCGGUGAAAUGCAUAGAUAUCACACAGAACACCGAUUGCGAAGGCAUCUCACGAAUCCGCGAUUGACGCUGAUGCACGAAAGCGUGGGUAUCAAAUAGG